UCCAGACUCCUACGGGAGGCAGCAGUGGGGGAUAUUGCACAAUGGGGGGAACCCUGAUGCAGCGACGCCGCGUGGGUGAAGGAGCGUUUCGGCGCGUAAAGCCCUCUCGGCAGGGAAGAAGGAGGACGGUACCUGACUAAGAAGCCCCGGCUAACUACGUGCCAGCAGCCGCGGUAAUACGUAGGGGGCAAGCGUUAUCCGGAUUUACUGGGUGUAAAGGGGGCGCAGACGGCGAUGCAAGCCAGGAGUGAAAGCCCGGGGCCCAACCCCGGGACUGCUCUUGGAACUGCGUGGCUGGAGUGCAGGAGGGGCAGGCGGAAUUCCUAGUGUAGCGGUGAAAUGCGUAGAUAUUAGGAGGAACACCGGUGGCGAAGGCGGCCUGCUGGACUGUAACUGACGUUGAGGCUCGAAAGCGUGGGGAGCAAACAGGAUUAGAUACCCCGGUAUA
rnacentral:rRNA from 1 species